AUGAGUGCUCCACCCAUAGAGCUCGAGAAGAACGAAGAAUCAGGGCUGAUCAAAGAUGGGCAGAGAUUCGAGGUGUGCUCUGAAGCUACAAGCGGCUGGACGAGGAGAGUGAGGCUAGGGAAGGUACCUGAUGAGAGGGGCAUGAACCCGGACAGGAAGACGGCACUUGAGCUGUCUAUCCGUGCUUUUGCCGAAAAAGGUGAAGGGCAUGUCGUGAGUCCAAAAAUUGGCACGGAGUUUGACUCGCUGGACGAGGCGUAUGAGUUCUACAACGUAUAUUCAUGGGAAAUAGGGUUCGGUAUACGGCUGGCAAAGAGCAGGCUGAACGUGGAAAGAACAAGAUGUAUGCAAGAGAUUGUCUGUGCGUGUGCGGGGUCCCCGUUGAAGGAGAACAGCCGUUCUUCGAGGUGUGGUUGCAGUGCAAUGAUAAGGCUGCUCCGAUCAAAGGAUGGCGGUUGGUACAUAUCAGAGCACAAAGCAGGGCACAACCAUCCGCUUUCCAUUACAUGUGGACAGAAAAUGCAUUGGAAGUCGCAUAGGCAUAUAGAUAGAUACACCAAGGAUCUUGUGAAACAGCUCAGGGAUAAUAAUGUUGGCCUCGGAAAGGUUUUCAGCAUUAUUGGUAGCUUAUUUGGUGUCACGGAGAAUGUGCCUUUUACAAAGAGGUCGUUGAAGACAUUAUGCAAGAAGCUCAACAAGGAGCAGUCGGAUUUUGAUGCUGUCAAGACUAUGAACCUGCUUGGGGAGAUGAAAGCUAACGAUCCAGAUUUCAACUACACCGUGCAGGUCGACGAGGAGAGCCGCAUAAAGACACUUAUGUGGGUGACUAGUAGGGGGUGCGAUCAGUACAGGUGUUUCGGAGAUGCAAUAACAUUUGACACAACCUACAGGACAAACUUGUAUGAUAUGCCAUUUGGUCUCUUUGUCGGCGUCAACAACCACUUCCAGAGCAUAAUUUUCGGGGGAGCGAUGAUGAGAGACAAGAAAGAGGAAACAUUCAAGUGGAUCUUCAGGGAGUUUGUCCGUAUGGUGGGUGGGAAACACCCGCAGACAAUACUUACAGAUCAGGCACGCUCCAUGGAGCUGGCAAUCGAAGUAGAGCUGCCUAAUACCGUCCACCGUUGGUGCAAAUGGCACGUUUUGAAAAAAGCUAAGGAGUCCAUGGGUGUUCUUUGGAGCAAGAACAACGAAUUCAAACUGGAAUUUCACAAGCUUGUCCAUCACAUGAUCACGGAAGAAGAGUUUGAGGAGGGCUGGAGACAGAUGUUGGAGAAAUACUCUUUGAAGAAACAUCCUUUCUUGACGCAGAUAUAUGAGGUCAGGCAUAAAUGGGCGAAGGCGUACUUUAGAGGGGUGUUCUGUGCCAGGAUGACAAGCACUCAACGGAGCGAGAGCGCCAACCAUCUGUUGAAAGGUUACGUGCCGCCAGGGUGCCCAAUGCAUCUAUUUCUUAAGCAGUUUCAGAAACUGCAAUUUGACAGAGAGGCGGAGGAGAGUUUCCAGGAGAAGAGGACGUCCCUGAGCGGUGUGUGCCUCCGGGUCAAUCUUCCAAUUGAGAGGCAUGCUAGCAAAGUUUACACAAGAGCUAUGUUCGAAAAGUUUGGUGAAGAAUUGUAUAAGUGUGGGGCGCAUGUGUUGGAUGAGGUGGUGCCUAGGAGGGUUUAUAAGUCGACCCAUGUAGAAGCGGAAAAAAGGGAGAAAUGGAGCAAAGUUGAAUUCAAGAUAGAAGUGGAUGAAGACGAGAGUUUUUUCAGUUGCGAGUGCGGUUAUUUUGAACAUGCUAGGAUAGUGUGUUGCCAUGCAUUGCAGGUGAUGGUGCACUUCCGAUUGCAGAAAAUACCACAGAAGCAUAUACUUAAACGAUGGACGAGAGAGGCGCGUGACAUUCUUCCUGAUCAUUUGGUGAGGUAUCAGAGAGACAGAGGACCGCCAGCUAGUGACACAUUCAGACACCACACAAUGUACAUGAAAGCGCUUGAAUGUGUCGUGCUUGGAGACAGCAAUAUUAAGUGCUAUGAUGAAAGAGGUACAUGCGACUAUGCUUCCGCUAAGCAUUGA
rnacentral:rRNA from 1 species